AGAGUUUGAUUAUGGCUCAGGACGAACGCUGGCGGCGUGCUUCAUACAUGCAAGUCGAACGAGAACUUCACUUCGGUGGAGGGAAAGUGGCGGACGGGUGAGUAAUGUGUAGAGAAUCUGCCCUAGAGUGGGGGAUAGCCACUGGAAACGGUGAUUAAUACCCCAUACGAGCGUGGUUGAGAUACCAUGUUUAGAAAACUCCGGUGCUCUGGGAUGAGUCUGCAUCUGAUUAGCUAGGUUGGGGUGUAAUGGACCACCAAGGCGACGAUCAGUAGCUGGUUUGAGAGGAUGAUCAGCCACAAUGGGACUGAGACACGGCCCAUACUCCUACGGGAGGCAGCAGUAGGGAAUUUUGCGCAAUGGGGGAAACCCUGACGCAGCCAACGCCGCGUGAUCGAGACGCUUUUCGGAGUGUAAAGAUCUGUCAGUGGGGACGAAAGAUGACGGUACCCACAGAGGAAGCACCGGCUAACUCCGUGCCAGCAGCAGC
rnacentral:rRNA from 1 species